rnacentral:tRNA from 1 species
AGGGUUGUAGUUAAAUAUAACAUUUGGUUUGCAACUAAAAAGUAUUGAAAUAUCAAUUAACCUUA